rnacentral:rRNA from 1 species
UACGUAGGGGGCAAGCGUUGUCCGGAUUUACUGGGCGUAAAGGGCGCGCAGGCGGUCGUUCAAGUCGCGUGUGAAAGCCCCCGGCUCAACUGGGGAGGGUCACGCGAUACUGAUCGACUGGAAGGCAGGAGAGGGUAGUGGAAUUCCCGGUGUAGUGGUGAAAUGCGUAGAUAUCGGGAGGAACACCAGUGGCGAAGGCGACUACCUGGCCUGUUCUUGACGCUGAGGCGCGAAAGCUAGGGGAGCAAACGGG